rnacentral:lncRNA from 1 species
CGGACGACGCUACUGACGACGACAGAAGCUCUGUAGUGGUAACUGGUGCCGUAAAGACUGCAGGAGCCUGCAGAGGAGGAGGCGUAGGGUCACCAGUCAGAGCACUGUAGGUGAAGCUGAGGUGCGGAUCUGUCUGCGAAUCCCACACAAGCUGUGACGCUGACGCUGACUGAGGAGUGAAGCCUGAGCGGAGAGGAGUGAAUUGAGGUACCUGCUCAAAGCCGGAAGAGAUAGCACCCUGAGAGACCUGGUGCUGAGGCGUCGAGAACGGCUGACUCUGAGCUGGUAACUGAAGCGGCUGCUGAGACGGGCUCUGAGUCUGAGGCACUGGAGUAGGUGGCCUGACAGUCGACGUGCCUGGGAGCUGGAUCUGCGGUAGCUGAAUCC